UUAGUGGCGGACGGGUGAGUAACGCGUGGAAAACCUGCCGUAUACUGGGGGAUAACACUUAGAAAUAGGUGCUAAUACCGCAUAAGCGCACAGCUUCGCAUGAAGCGGUAGUGAAAAACUCUGGUGGUAUACGAUGGUUCCGCGUCUGAUUAGCUAGGUUGGUGGGGUAAUGGCCUACCAAGGCAACGAUCAGUAGCCGGCCUGAGAGGGUGAACGGCCACAUUGGGACUGAGACACGGCCCAAACUCCUACGGGAGGCAGCAG
rnacentral:rRNA from 1 species